GAGAAUGACCACAAGUGCAACGAUGAACGCAAAAUCCACAUUCGGCUGAACCGUCACUCCAAACGUAUCCUUAUCCAACACAAUGCUCUGUAAACUGUGUUCCUUGUGCAUGUGGGCGACCACAGAAGACCCAUCCCCAAGAAAGAUAGUGCAGGCUCUCUCCAUCCAGCUUCCUUUUAUCUUAAAAUCGCACCCGCUGUCCGAUCCGUUUGUGGCUAAUAUCACAUCUAAGUGUGUCUUAAAUUGUAAAAUCGACGAUUUCUUCACCGUGAAUAACAGAUCUUUUGAAUCUCUGCUCUCCCCUCUAUACGCAUACCAUUUUCUAUGCGCUGAAAACAGCUGUGUUGUUGUUGUUGUUGUUGUGUGUGUGUAUACACAAAACAUAAUUCAAUUAAUUAACUGAUCACAUACAUAUAUUAUAAAUACAGAUCUAUAAUGAAUUGAUUUACCUUUUGUUGAAAGGUGAUUACGGGGUUGUCAGCGGCGUCAAGAAGAACGCGGCGAUCGUGGAGGCUGAACACCGACCCUUUCACCUUGAACAUCAAGGUGCCGUUAACGUCAGUAACCGCGAACGAACCUUCCUUCAUGGUCAUCACCUUCUUCGUGAUUCUCAGAUCCACGGGAUAAGGAGCGAUAUACUGAGAGCCUAACACCGUCAAGGGACUGGCCAACGCAGCGUAUGUGGUCUGUGCGGGUAGCUGAAUCGUCGUGGGAUCGGCCAUUAAUGGAUGAAUUUGAUUGGAGAUGGGAAGAAAAUUUAGUUAAGAUGAGGAAAUGAGGGGAUGUUGGGAUUUUCCCUUGGGUUGUAUCGAAGACGUGUAAUUGGGUACCUCUGCAGUAUGGUAUAUAUAUAUAUGUAAUCCGUGUGCCAAUAC
rnacentral:lncRNA from 1 species